CACACACACACACACACACAUAUGAACUUUUUGUACAAGGAUUUUGUACAAGGAUUGGGGAAAUGUUACAGAAGUCAUAAGAUUUGAUGGCAUGAUGCCCAUCAUACACAUGAGGUUGCUUCUGGCUACAGGCUAUUUACCGGUAUUUCCUUACCUUACAGGGAAUUCAGACGCUCCUCCUGCCACACCAAGCUUCUUCAGAGAGAGUGGCCGGACAUCCAUAGUCCUGGAUGGGUGCAGUCACGGACCAUUACGACUGCUAUAUUCAAUAUGGGAUGUAGCUUAUAUGCAGUUUUGCCUAAGGGAUGCAAUUCUUAUAUGGAUGUGGUAAUCGAAAAUGGGCUGGGCAGGGGAUGAGCUGGAAAACCUGCAAUGAUUGCCCUUUCUGCAUAGCUAUUAAAAGGUGUAGGAAUAAUGUCCUGUUGUGAAUCCAGUGUCUACUGCUGCUUGAGGGGACUAUUAUUUUUUGAAGUUACAACUCUCAGAAUUAAUAAAAUAGGACGUAUUGCAAAUUAAGUGUGCACAGAAUUGGACCCUUGCAUCCUAACCAUGGUUAUUUGGAAAAAGUUCAUGGGUUGCAUCUAAUGUUAGAACAGACUCCUUGAAAUUAACAGAUUUGACAGUUUAAGUGCAUUAAUUCCAGUGUUCUUAUUCAAAGUAGAAUUGGAUACAACCCAUGGUGGUAUUUGUUGCCAUUUGGGUAAGUAUGCUUAGGAUUGCAUCUGUGCAAUUCUAAGCAUGCUUGGUUAGAAGUACCACUAAAUACAGUGAGUGGAAUUCAGUGCUAGGUGGGGUAUCUGUGUAUAGAACACGGUUUUCCUGCAAUGAGACUUCCCCAAAUCUGUCUUGGAGGUGUUGGGGAGGAGGGGAAAGGCCUGUUGUACAAGGUGACCUCGUUCAAUGCAUAUGACAAUUUAGUUGAAUCCAGUGUAAUGAGAUUUACUUCCUAGGUAGUGUUUCAGAUUAGACCCCUUGAAUGCUGUGUUUCUAACUUCUGACUAAGCAUUCCUUGGGUCAGGCAAGCUGAAUGUUGAACAACAACAACAACAAAACAAUUAAAAAUAUAUGUUACUGAAGAAAUGCAGUUAUUUAUCAUACUUCUUUCGUUGUCUUCUUUAACCUCACAUGAAGACAUUUCCACACCCAACCUCCCAGAUUUGCCUAAGCCAGUUUUCGGCACAUUUCCCUUCAGAUUUGGGAAUGGCUCUGGGGGCUUUUAACUGAGUGUAUUUUGGUGCUUUCUUUUUCGCUGCAAUUUCCCCAGUGGAGCAGCACCUCAAGUUGUAAAUGAAUCCAGGGACUGCUGGCGCUGUUGCUUAUUUUCAAAGCAUGGAAACAGUAAGUUCACAUCCCAUCUGUGUCAUAUCUAAUAACAACAAUGUACAAAUCUUAGGAAAAUCUACAGUUUGACAUAGCAGGGUUUCUCACAGAAGAACUCAUUGUACAAUUUCUAUAAUAAGACUCCCUUGUUGGGCUUUGCUAAACAGAAAUAAUAUGGUAUCUAGAAACAAAGGCAAAACAAUUUGGUAGGUUUUAGCUGGUGAAGACAUUUCUGUGGGAAUUAAAAAUUCAACACCAUUUGUGCUUCAUUAAAUGCAACUGCAGGCUGUCACACAUUGCGUAAAGGUCUUAAACUUGUCAUUUUGGUUGUGAAACCUGGAAAAGAAAACUUUUCUGGUGAUAUUUGACACUGCAAAUGGAUUAUUUCCAGCCUUCUGUUAUGUGCAGGAUAAAGAGAUUAACUUAGCUUUGUAGAGAUAUAUAAAAUAUUUACUAGCUUACACAACUGUAUGCAGCUGGAUGACAUGACGGGUCUGGCAACACUUGCAUAAUUGGUUGGGAUAGAUGUCACAUGUAUUGCUCAGAGGACUUUUGAGCCCCCUGUUAUAUAGAAUAGUUUUAAAUGCACCUGUACCACCUUCUGAAAAUCAGUUAAGGACCAGGUAUGAAGGUGGAUUUACAGUUGCAUUUAUACCGUCUUCUAUUUCCUGCAUCACCCGAGAACAGAUGUAUUCUGCCUUGAAAUAUAUAACCUUCCAGCCCUCCAUUCCCCCCAUACAGUUGUACAUAUUUGGGAAUGACCUUUUCAUAUUUUAAGCUUGCCUACUUGCAUUGAAGUGUCUCUUUUGUCACCACUGAGAAGAUCAAAAAGCCCUGCUGAAUCAGAUGAGGCCCAUUAGUCCAGUAUUCUGUUUCGUCCAAUGGCCCAAGAGAUGCUUCAAAGAAUUCCACAGGCUUGGCAGAAACUAAAGAUAGCAGCCCUUCUUCGGUGUUUGUCCCUCUGUUACUGAUCGUCAGAGGCAUGUUGCUUCUGUGGUUCCAGUAGGUACAAUGGCUAAUAGUUGUUGGUAGAUUUAUCAUUCAAUGAAUUGGCUAAAUCCCCUUUGAAAGCUGCCUAAGUCAGUGACCAUCCAAUUAUUGUGCCAGCAAAUUCCAUAAAUUAAUUGCAUGCUUGUGAAAUUUGUGUGUUCUGAGUCUACUGUCAAUUUUAAUUGCAUGACUCCAUGUUCUAGUGUUAUGAGUGAAAGAAAAAUCUUCAUUUCCCCCCAUGCAAUGUAUUUUAUGACUCUGUCAUGCCUACCUUUUGUCAUAUUUUCUAAGCUCAUGGUGGCAUUGCAGUUGAGUAGUCACAGGGCUGCACGGACGAGCAUUUGGGGAACUUAACUGGGGUAAUGUUUUCUGCAUUUGCUGGCGUGGUGCUAUUUAAAACAAAGCAUAACUUUUUAUGUGCAUUAACUGAAGUUGUGUACGAUUCCCAAGUGAACAUUAAAGUGCUUCAAAAUGUUUGUGUGUUUUUGACCUCAGCUUUACCAUGAUAGCUUGUUCCACUUUCCUGUCAUCUCUAAUCUGGAAAACCAUUUUCUC